AUUGAACGCUGGCGGCAGGCCUAACACAUGCAAGUCGAACGAGUGGCGGACGGGUGAGUAAUGUCUGGGAAACUGCCUGAUGGAGGGGGGUAACUACUGGAAACGGUAGCUAAUACCGCAUACCAUCGGAUGUGCCCAGAUGGGAUUAGCUAGUAGGGGGGGUAAUGGCUCACCUAGGCGACGAUCCCUAGCUGGUAUGAGAGGAUGACCAGCCACACUGGAACUGAGACACGGUCCAGACUCCUACGGGAGGAAGAAGUGGGGAAUAUUGCACAAUGGGCGCAAGCCUGAUGCAGCCAUGCCGCGUGUGUGAAGAAGGCCUUCGGGUUGUAAAGUACUUUCAGCGAGGAGGCGUUACUCGCAGAAGAAGCACCGGCUAACUCCGUGCCAGCAGCCGCGGUAAUUC
rnacentral:rRNA from 1 species